ensembl:lncRNA
AGCAAAUGAAAACAGUUCAGGCGUACGCUGAAAAGGCAAUAAGAGUGUUUACAGGAGGAGAGACGCAGACAAAUCACCCAAUAGAGCGGCGCGGGGAUGACGUCAUUCUGUACCAAAACCCGGAAGUUAUCAUCAGGAGGAUAAAGCGAGGCUCGCCGCUCAAGCGCUAAAACGCUAAGGGUUUUUGGCGUACAAAAUGAUGUCAUCCCUGCACCACUUUCUGGUGACUGGCUGUAAGUUUAGGAAGCACUUGAACUGAUUUGCAGCGGAGUUUUCUAUGAGCGGAGGACGAACUUUAAACGUCAAUAUCGCAGUCGAUCGCGUUCAUUUAAUCGUGGGCAGUCAAAAUCGCAAUCGCCAUCGAUAUCCGAUUAAUUGUGCGGCGCUACCUAAAACCAAGAAAUAACCUCCUAAACCACACGGGACACCGGUUACACUUUUGUGCAUUACAUAGCGCAAGUAAUGUAGUUAAUGUUAGACAGAUUUCAGGCAAGAGAGGAAGACUGAGAGAGAGAGAGAGAGAGAGAGAGAGAGAGAGAGAGAGAGAGAAAGGCAGAGGGAAAGAGAAAGAGAGAGAGAAAAAGGGAGACAAAAGAGCUGCUGACACAGACACGAGAAAGAUACAGAGAAAGACAGACCAUCAGAGAUGGAUAUAUAAUGACCGAUAUAAAGAGAAAGAGAGAGAGAGAGCGACAGAUAGAGAGAAAGAUGGAUAUAGAGAAUGAUAAAGACAGAGAAACAGAGUCAGAAACAGAGUCAAAGAUAAAUAGAUAGAUAGACAGAUAGCAAGAGAUAGAGAGACAGAUAGACAGACAAACAGACAGUGAUAGAUAGACAGAGUGAAAGUCAGAGAGUGAGAGAGAUAGAUAGAUAGAGACAGAGACAGAUAUAUAGCUAAAGACAGAUAGAGAGACAGUGAGAGAGUGAGAUAGAUAUAGAUAGAAAUAGUGACAGAGACAGAGUGAGAGAAAUAGAUGGAUAGACAGAUAAUGAGAGAGACAGACAGAUAGAGGCAGUGAGAGUGAGACAGAUAGAUAGUGACAGAGAGGCAGUGAGAGUGAGACAGAGAGGCAGUGAGAGUGAGACAGAGAGGCAGUAAAAGUGAGAUAUAUAGAUAGAUGCAGUGAGACAGAUAGAUAGAUGAGAGACCGUGAGAGAGAGGCAGUUAGAAAGAAAGCCAGAUCGAGAGAAAGACAGUUAAAGACAGAGAGAGAAACACUGCAAUCUGAUGACGCAGCGCUACAAAGUAAACAAGCUUUACUACUUCCUCAAUGCACAGAGGAAAAACAUGUCAAAACACGAGCGAAGGAAAACCGGAUCAAACCCAACAAUGAACAUUUCUUUAUUCUUUCUUUAUCAUUUCACAACCACAACCCCCGACAUUACCGAGUUUAAACCCCCAGCAGCGCUGAACCUCCGUUUCCUGCUCCCCAGAAACACCAGUGAGCUUAGCGUUAGCAUAGCGCCGAACACAACAGCAACAAGACACAGCGCGUGAACGUUACCAUUUCCUCUCUCGCUACAGUGUAACACUUCCUCCCACUCUCACUCUCAACACUUCACUCAACACCGACACACUGCACCCCUGUCUUCAUGUCCUGAACACUGUCUUCAUGUCCUCUCCGCUUCCCAAUCACAGAAUGAGUGUGAGUGUGUGAGUGUGUGUGUGUGUGUGAGGAAGAUUUUCAGGAUCUCCUCCUCGCGCCUCUGUCGCUCCAUACAGUGGUUCAUUUAACCUGAUUUAAUCAUCUAUCACCUCACAUCACACACCGCAAAUCACCACACACACUCUCACACUCUCUCUCUACAUGCACUCGGAGAAAGAUUAGAAACAUUAGUGACGAGAGAAACGGAGAAAUCUUCCAUCUUACCCAGGCGGUGCAGGAUUUCAAAAUGGUCGGUCU